GAAACUUCUAUCUCCCAGCCUCCAGAUUAGGGUCACUGGUGAGCCUUCCAAUUAUGGAUUGUAGUUCAUUCCAAAUAUAGUCAAGUUGACAACCAGGAAUAGCCACUACAGACACCAAGAAGACCAUCCCUUGUAGAAAGUCUUCAAGAAAGUGAAUGGAAGCCUCAGAGGAACUCCAUGGAGGACCAGCAUGGACUUAAAAAAAAAACCCAACAUUUACUUGGGGCUGGCUUACAGGUUCAGAGGUUCAGUCCAUUAUCAUCAAGAUGGAAGUAUGGCAGCAUCCAGGCAGAGCUGAGUGUUCUACGUCUUCAUCCAAAGGCUGCUAGUGGAAGACUGACUUCCAGGCAACAAGGGUAAGGAUCUUAUGCCCACACCCACAGUGACACACCCAUUCCAACCAGGUCACACCUCCAGAUGGUGCCACUCCCUGGUCCAAGGAUAUACAAACCAUCACAAAGGCCUACCUGUUUAUAGUCUUCCUGCUGAAUGCUUGUUAUGGAAACUGGUUAGAACCUUUUAUCUUGGGAAAUUUCUCUCUCUCUCUCUCUCUCUCUCUCUCUCUCUCUCUCUCACACACACACACACACACACACACACACACACAUUUAUUUAUUUAUUUUGUUUAUAUAUCAGUUUAUUUCAAUGGUAAGAGGGAGACUAAUGUCUUAUGCAUAGUGAACAUAUAUUCUUCUAAUGUACUACAUUGCUAGCCCUUAAGGAGGCUUUUUGUUCGUUUGUUUGUUUGUAACAUGAUGGAAAUUCAACCCAAGGGUUUGUGCAUGCUAGGCAAAUGCUCUACCACUCAUCCAUGUCCCUAAUGUUCUUGUAUCAUUAAAUAUCAAAGGUUGGAUUUUUAUGUGUAUGUAUGUGCACAUUUAUGUAAGUGCACAUGUGCGAGUGCACAUGUAUGUGUGUGCAUGUGGAGGCCAUGCACUUUGGACAUUGUUCCUGGAAUGCCAUUCACCUUGGAUUUUUUGAGACAUAGUCCCACACUGACCUGGAGUUUGUCAGCUAGGCUAGGCUUGUUGGUCAGCAACCCUGAGAGUCACCUGUCUGCCUCCCACGUUCUGGGAUUACCUGUAUGUGCCUGUGGAUUUUUGGAAUUGAACUCAGAUUCUCAUGAUUGCAUGAAAAACACUUUUCCCACUGGGAUAUCUCUCUAGUCCCCUCAAAGACUGGAAUCUUAGAAAACUCGUGGCAAACAUUUGGAAUAGGGAUUAUGGUGUGUAUUUAUUUCAUGUAUUUGAAACUCAUGGCAGCUCAAUUCUAAUGACUUCCUUUGCCUGCCAUAUGGCAAAAUGAGUACAUAUUCCCAAGGACAGAAGAUAGUCUGCCAAGGCAUGGACCUCUGAAUUCUUCCUUUGAACUCUGCAACUGCACAGCUGUCUGGGGCUGACUGGAGAGACCUUGGUAGAAGGCUCGACAAUAGAACACGUGGCCAUGGUUGCUCUGUAAUACCCAUGUUAACAGGCAUACUGUUCAGUAACAACACCCACUGAAAAACUGGACAGAAUUUACAUUGAUAUGGAAGUUGUAUUACAGAUCACAGAAGGAUAGAUAGACAUACAGAUAGAUAUCUUUAUGGAUAUACAUUUCAAAAAUUGUAUAUAUGAAUAACCAUAAAACUCUUUGUAGCAAUUAAGAGGUAAGUGUUAUGGAAAGGAGAAAAUGGGUGUGGCCCUGACAAGAGACAGAAUAGGUUACCCUUCCCCCAUGAUACAGCACAGACUGAGAAGAUAUGGGUUUCAGCACAAGCUAUAGGUGGAAUAAUUACUGAUUCAGAGGUGAGCUGGACAUGAUGAUAUACACCUGUAAUCCCAGCACACAACCAGUCUGGACUACAUAUAUCCUUUCAUUUCAUUUUGAAGAAAUGAGAAGACAGGUGUGUCUUCUAUUUCCAUCAUGUAUUUAUGUAGCAGCAAACUAGAAUCAAUAGUUAGGAAAAUACAGUGGAUAUUAAUGCCUUAAAGUCUGCACUUUGAGCCAUUUUUUGCCACUCUGUUUCUCUGUAGUCUGUGGGUCCUUAUAAGAGUGAUUGAUCUAAUGGAGAGCCAUGGGGUUCUUAUUGGCUGUAGGUCUUGGAAAGAUGAAAGAGAAGGAACUGAACGCUCAGAGUAGACACUUCCCAGGUGCUCACGGCUCAGAGUCACAGCCAUCUUAAUAAGAAAGAGUUGGUUUUAGCUGGAAGUUCAUGUAGGACUACCAAGUUCUAUUUCCAGAAUAUGGCCUGGGCUCCUCUGGCUACGUGUUACCCAUAUUACAAAGCCACAAGACCUACCUUGAUAUUAGAUAUGCUUUUAGACUGCCAACCCAAUCCUAGCGCCACACCCCCAUGGCCACAUUUUAGGGCAACAACUCAGCACCCCUGUAUUUGGUGUGUUGGUUAAUAACUGUGAAGAACUCCCUCGGGCCUAAUUUAUCAUCAACUUCAGAAUUCCUGUGAGGUGUCCAGUAGACACAAGGGAGAGCAAGUUGCAGAUAAAAACUUCGGGUGAUGUUUUGAGUUGUGUUGUGUUGUGGGCCACCUCAGGUGUUCAGCGUCCCUGGAUACCCACACCAUCUGAUCUGGUGCAGGGUAUCAGAGGUUGACAUGCAUAGCCCUGGACAUCUCCCUCUCCUUCCUCAGGAGAAAUUCUAGGAAACAGGGGAUCACGAUCAAUAUCUUUAGAACUGUGAUGUCAAGCAUUCAGUCAUGGACCAUGCAUUUCAUUUAUUUGCUCCCCUGCUGCUGAGCACAAGAAGAACACGUGUUCUGGGUGAGCUAGGGAGAAAUAUCUCAUUUCUUAUCCAUCAGCUAAGCAGACGUUUCUUAGCCCCGUUUAUCUCCAUACUUCAUCCAAGCAAAGAUGUGUGAGUUGUCAUCAAGUGGCAAAACAUUGCCCUGUUAGAAUCUCUUCCUUCUGUCAUUUAGAUGUGUGGUUGUAGAAUGACUUUCAAAAAACAUCUCUCUGGUCUUAUAAAUACUAGCUUAAAACAACCAUGAAGGCGAAGGGCUGAGAUGGCUCAGUGGGAAAAGUGCUUGUGUGCAAGCAUGAAAACUUGAGUUUAGAGCCUCAGCAUCCU
ensembl:sense_intronic